GACGAACGCUGGCGGCGUGCCUAAUACAUGCAAGUCGGGCGCGCGGCGGACGGGUGAGUAAUGUAUGGGGAUCUGCCUGAUGGAGGGGGAUAACUACUGGAAACGGUAGCUAAUACCGCAUACCAUCAGAUGAACCCAUAUGGGAUUAGCGUGUAGGUGAGGUAACGGCUCACCUAGGCGACGAUCCCUAGCUGGUCUGAGAGGAGGAUCAGCCACACUGGGACUGAGACACGGCCCAGAAUCCUACGGGAGGCAGCAGUGGGGAAUAUGGCACAAUGGGCGCAAGCCUGAGACAGCCAUGCCGCGUGUAUGAAGAAGGCCUUCGGGUUGUAAAGUACUUUCAGUCGGGAGGCGUUACCGACAGAAGAAGCACCGGCUAACUCCGUGCCAGCAGCCGCGGUAAUUC
rnacentral:rRNA from 1 species